UACAGAGGGUGCGAGCGUUAAUCGGAAUUACUGGGCGUAAAGCGUGCGUAGACGGUUAUUUAAAGUCGGGGUGUGAAAUCCCCCGGGCUCAACCUGGGAAUUGCGAUGGAGACUGCAAGGCUAGAAUCUGGCAGAGGGGGGUAGAAUUCCACGUGUAGCAGUGAAAUGCGUAGAGAUGUGGAGGAACACCGAUGGCGAAGGCAGCCCCCUGGGUCAAGAUU
rnacentral:rRNA from 1 species